AGUACUUUGGUUAAUUUUAGUGUUAUUUGGUUGCUGAAAAUUCGGCCAAGAAGAGGAAAGAAUUUGGGUUUCUUGCUAAUGCUUUCCUUACUUGUUUUAGUUGAGAAAUGGACUUGUAGUGGUUAUGUUUGAUGAAUUGCCUCACUUGAUUUGGUUGGUUACUUGCAAAAAGCUGAUUUGGGUUAAGAAACCCUAAACUCCAUUAGGCUAAUUUAGCUUAGCUUAUGGUUAGUGAGAUAGAGUUUGGUUAGUGUGAGGUUGGAUUAAGUUCAUUGGUGCAAAUGAAAUUUGGUUAGGGAUUGUGGUUGAUGAUUGUUAAAUUUGGUAUUGACUUGGGAGGGGAAUUUCGGACCAUUUGUAGGCCAUUUAGAUGUUAGUAUAUGUGUGUUUAUUUGGUACAAAAGUGGUUGAAAAACCUGCAUAAGAACCAUGAAAACGAACCAUAUGUUUGCGACAUUUGAAACCGGCAAAAUGGGUAAACAGGGCAACCCAGAACCUGAACUUGAGCUCCAUUUUUCUUAAUGUUCCGUGCUGAUUCAGAAGUUUCGUAAAACAUGAAAGUCGUAGCCCAUUGAGUCCUGAGUAUGCCUGCAAAAUUUCAGGUCAAUCGGAUUAGCGUAGCCUGAGUUAUCGACGAAAUGCUCAAGCCUGUUUUGACCCUCUGGUUC
rnacentral:lncRNA from 1 species